CGAAAGCCUGACGGAGCAACGCCGCGUGAGGGAUGAAGGCCUCUGGGCUGUAAACCUCUUUUCUCAAGGAAGAAGACCUGACGGUACUUGAGGAAUAAGCCACGGCUAAUUCCGUGCCAGCAGCCGCGGUAAUACGGGAGUGGCAAGCGUUAUCCAGAAUUAUUGGGCGUAAAGCGUCCGCAGGCGGCCCUGUAAGUCUGUCGUUAAAGCGUGGAGCUUAACUCCAUUUAAGCGAUGGAAACUACAGGGCUUGAGUGUGGUAGGGGCAGAGGGAAUUCCCGGUGUAGCGGUGAAAUGCGUAGAUAUCGGGAAGAACACCAGUGGCGAAGGCGCUCUGCUGGGCCAUAACUGACGCUCAUGGACGAAAGCCAGGGGAGCG
rnacentral:rRNA from 1 species